rnacentral:rRNA from 1 species
GCUCAGUAACACGUGGAUAACCUACCCUUAGGACUGGGAUAACCCUGGGAAACUGGGGAUAAUACCGGAUAGGCAAUUUUUCCUGUAAUGGUUUUUUGUUUAAAUGUUUUUUCGCCUAAGGAUGGGUCUGCGGCCGAUUAGGUAGUUGGUUAGGUAAUGGCUUACCAAGCCGUUGAUCGGUACGGGUUGUGAGAGCAAGAGCCCGGAGAUGGAACCUGAGACAAGGUUCCAGGCCCUACGGGGUGCAGCAGGCGCGAAACCUCCACAAUGUGAGAAAUCGCGAUGGGGGGAUCCCAAGUGCCAUUCUUAACGGGAUGGCUUUUCAUUAGUGUAAAAAGCUUUUGGAAUAAGAGCUGGGCAAGACCGGUGCCAGCCGCCGCGGUAACACCGGCAGCUCUAGUGGUAGCAAUUUUUAUUGGGCCUAAAGCGUCCGUAGCCGGUUUAAUAAGUCUCUGGUGAAAUCCUGUAGCUUAACUGUGGGAAUUGCUGGAGAUACUAUUAGACUUGAGACCGGGAGAGGUUAGAGGUACUCCCAGGGUAGAGGUGAAAUUCUGUAAUCCUGGGAGGACCGCCUGUUGCGAAGGCGUCUAACUGGAACGGUUCUGACGGUGAGGGACGAAAGUUAGGGGCGCGAACCGGAUUAGAUACCCGGGUAGUCCUAACUGUAAACGAUGCGGACUUGGUGUUGGGGUGGCUUUGAGCUGCUCCAGUGCCGAAGGGAAGCUGUUAAGUCCGCCGCCUGGGAAGUACGGUCGCAAGACUGAAACUUAAAGGAAUUGGCGGGGGAAUCAC